UCUGUCGCGAGUGAGCGGAUGUUCAUCCGCGAAGCUCUUGCAAGUGAGAUGCCCCCUGCAUUCGCCUCAACACCAGCGACGUCCAGCAGCUGCCCGCUUACUGCGCUCACCUUGUCUCAGCAGGAGAUAGUCAAUUCGUUCGCAGAAAAAUCCCACAUGACACCGAAGUGGUCACAAAGAUGCCUGGAGCAGAACAAUUGGGAUUUCUCCAAAGCGGCCGACGACUUCAUCCACCUCUACGAAGCAGGGAAGAUUCCGGGGGAGGCGUUUCUGUGAUGAGGCGUCAUCCAGAACCAGCGCCCCACCAAAUGGACCCUGACCACAACAUUUAUUUUUGUAUCAAAACCGUGAUUUUCUGUAUUAUAAAUGUAAAUACAUAUUCAUUAUAUUAUACAUUUUGGCUGUAGUUGUGACAUAAAAAAAA